rnacentral:rRNA from 1 species
UCCCCUAGUAACUGCGAGUGAAGCGGGAAAAGCUCAAAUUUAAAAGCUGACGGUCUUUGGCCGUCCGCAUUGUAAUCUAGAGAAGUGUUACCCGCGUUGGACCGUGUACAAGUCUCCUGGAAUGGAGCAUCAUAGAGGGUGACAAUCCCGUCUUUGACACGGACUCCCAAGGCUUUGUGGUGCGCUCUCAAAGAGUCGAGUUGUUUGGGAAUGCAGCUCAAAAUGGGUGGUAAAUUCCAUCUAAAGCUAAAUAUUGGCGAGAGACCGAUAGCGAACAAGUACCGUGAGGGAAAGAUGAAAAGAACUUUGGAAAGAGAGUUAAACAGUACGUGAAAUUGCUGAAAGGGAAACGCUUGAAGUCAGUCGCGUCGUCCGGAGAUCAACCUUGCUUUUGCUGGGCGUACUCUCUGGUUGACGGGCCAGCAUCAGUUUUGGCCACUGGAAAAGGGCGGAAGGAAUGUGGCAUCUUCGGAUGUGUUAUAGCCUUCCGUCGUAUACAGUGGCUGGGACUGAGGAACUCAGCACGCCGCAAGGCCGGGAUUUUAUCCACGUUCGUGCUUAGGAUGCUGGCAUAAUGGCUUUAAUCGACCCGUCUUGAAACACGGACCAAGGAGUCUAACAUACCUGCGAGUGUUUGGGUGGAAAACCCGAGCGCCUAAUUAAAGUGAAAGUUGAGAUCCCUGUCGUGGGGAGCAUCGACGCCCGGACCAGACCUUUUGUGACGGAUCUGCGGUAGAGCAUGUAUGUUGGGACCCGAAAGAUGGUGAACUAUGCCUGAAUAGGGUGAAGCCAGAGGAAACUCUGGUGGAGGCUCGUAGCGAUUCUGACGUGCAAAUCGAUCGUCAAAUUUGGGUAUAGGGGCGAAAGACUAAU